AUGGAAUCAGGACAUUGGAGAUGCUCCUCUCAGCUGCUGUACCUGAGUGCUAUCCAGCCACCUUCACUGAACCCACAACAGCUUCACUGCCCCCGACAAUCCAUGGUCUCCAAUAAAGUCUGCAGAGGUUUGUCCACACGUACAGUAGUUCCAGAUGCAAUUCAUUUAUUUUUCCAGUUUCAUCGUCUCUCAGUCGAUUCAAGUCUGUCUCGUCUCCCUCUUUCAGGGCUGCCAGCUUCCUUUCGGCCCCAGAGGUCUCCCAUAUCCAUGCACGUCAAGAUGAUUCCAGACAUUGUUCCAACAAAGUGUUUGAUGUCCAGUUUCACCCCUGAUAAGUCCAACAGCCGGCAUAUUCCUAGAGACAGAAGCUCUUCACGGGUCUCAGAACAUUACUUUGUGCCUGAGGAUUCCUCCACCUCUCACACAGACACAGCAAAGACCAAACAGCAGGAUGUGGAACAGGAAGAAGAGUUCUCAGAAGGUUUCAUAUGCACACAUAUUAUACUGAUAUAUGAAACUGAAAUUAAUACUAAUAAUUGUGCAGCUAAAGCUGCAUGAAAAAAGCAUUUAUUUUAUUUAUCCCUUUCAGGUAACCUCACUUCUUCCUCUUUAUUACCUGAUUUUUAUCAUCCAUUCAGUGGGUUCGUCCCUGUGGAGACAUGUACUACUUGGAGAGCAGAACCAGAGAAAUCAAACCCCCGACGUCGCCCUGAGAGAAACUGAAUCCCCCGGCAAUUCAUUUGUGCCUGUGAAGAGGAGCAGGGACCUGAGAAGAAAUGGGUAAAUUCACGUUUAUUCCUCUUCAUGUGCCGUUCUCUUGAUGUGAAAUGCUCAGGUUGUCGUUGUAGUGUGUUGACAAGCAUUGUACAUAUUACAUCAUGUUUUUUGGCCUUUCAUUGCUCCUCUCUACUCCCUAACCUUCUUCAUUUUUCCUCAGACUACACAAAGAGACUUCGGGGAACAAGAGGCACAUGGGUGUUUUAUCCCCUGUGAUGAAGAAGGAACAUCCACCUCCACAGAGCGACACCCUCGCUAGGCGUCAGGCUAAGGACACCAGGCGCCAUCACGAGAGAGGAGGCCAAAUUAGCCAAGAGGCAACGCAUCAAUAUAUAGAGCCAUCACAGUGUGGAAGUUACCAGCUAUGAUCACUGAAGCACAGAGUGAAGUGUUAAAAGACUUCUUAAAAAACACAUGAAUAAUAAUCCCAACCUCAACAGACUUGAACUAAGAUGGAAUUUAACAGGGUGUUUUGUGACGUUCAUUUUUUCUUUUUUUACUUGUCUGCAUUUUGUCUCAUUGAGACUUUUUACAUGUCAUAUGUCUUGUUUUAUAUGUAUGUUUUGUUGUAUGUGGACCCCAGCAGGAGUAGCUGUACCUCAGUGGCAGCUAACGGUGAUUUAAGAGUAAAGAAUCUCACUGAUGAGACAUUACACGUCCCCUUUAAUGUAAUUACAUUUUUAAUAAAAACUCUUUAAAAACAAGACAAUUUACUGAUGAGAAACCUUUAUGCUUGGAUUCUCGGGGUACGUCAACAUGAAGUCUAUGAAGCAUUAGCUGCUUAAUAAACGACACACAGGCUGCUUGUUAUGUAGAUUUUAUUUAUUCCAACAAAAACAAAAAUACAAUCCCGUGGAAUACAUUGUUAAUAAAAUACAAAAAUAAAUAUGUUCAGAUGUUUCUCUCUUUAAUGAUCCAUCCUGGGGAGGAAAUAUCCCAUAUACUACAUGUAAUACAAAAAGUGACACAUUAUUUUUUUGUUGUCUGUGAGGUGGGAAGCACGAAUAUGUCCUGGUGGGUCCAGA
rnacentral:lncRNA from 15 species